GGUGCUUCGUGAGUCUCGGAGGAGUCUGACACCCUCUAACCCCUUGCCAGCUGCAGCCAAUGAGAUUGGGAAGACUCCACGUGUGCAAGUGAAAUAAGAGGAUCUUGUGUGAAAAAGGUUUAUUUUUGAGAGGGGCGAGGGGGCGUGGGAAGCGAAGAGGAUGGUGGAAUGAUGGAGGGAGAUUCAUACCAAAUAUACUGACUCAAAAAGAGCUGAUAAACUGUCUCCACAGUGUCUGUACCCAGGCGCCUGAGAUCUGGAUGGAAGGCCGUGUCUAGAAUGUUGCCCUGGUUCCACAUAGUUGAAAUAAAUCACUUCAGUCGUGCCUGACUCUUGGCGACCCUAUGGAUUGUAGCCCCACCCCCGGUUCCUCUGUUCAUGGGGUUCUCCAGGCAAGAAUACUGGAGUGGGUUGCCAUGGCCACCUCCAGGGGAUCUCCCUAACCCAGGGAUCAAGCCCACAUCACCUUUGUCUCCUGCAUUGCAGGCAGAUUCUUUACAGCUGAGCCUAGUUGAAGAAUGCUCACCACCAAGUCUGCUGCAAUUGCAUUCUGGCCAGCAAAAUCAGGAAAAAGGAGUAACAGAAGGUUUAAGAACAAAAAUCCACAAAAUGGUACAUAUCAUUCUGCUCACAUUCCACUGUCUAAAAGACACUACACCCUGAUGAACUUGAUGUCCAUUCCCAGGAUGAUUUGUGACCAUGAAAAAAAAAACAGUUAUUAUUUAGAGGCCUCUACUGAUUUGCCAAGCCCACUUCAUGCCAAAUGGACCUCAUUUCAUGUUGUUGGAAGAAUUAAUUGAUCAUUAGAAGAGGAUUAUAGCACAAACAGAAUAUAAUUUGAUUCCAGCACAGCAGCUGUCCUCAUUGUAUUAGUCAUGACUCAAUCAGUUAAAAGUCAAGGCAGGGAGGCUGUUUAUUAGUCUGUUGAACGGGAAGGACACCAAAGUGGCUCUCACAGUUGAAAGAUGAGCUGCAGAAACCAGGCUGUCAAGGAACCAGAAGUGGCACUCACUUCGCCCAGGCCUUCUUGCUCCCCAUAUCUGUCUGCUGAGUGCUUGGCUUCAUCCGGAGGUGACUUCACUUCUUGCCAUAGGAGGAUGGCCACUGGCAGCCCCCUAUUCAUAUUUUCCAAGCUUGGCAACCCUAGCAGAAAGAGAAAACUUCUUUUUCCUCAUGGCAGUCACACAGAGUGACUUGUACCUUUAUUUUUCACAUUUCUGUACUGCAUGAAUUUUUCACAUGGGAUACUUU
ensembl:lncRNA